CCANCAGCCGCGGUAAUACGUAGGUCCCGAGCGUUGUCCGGAUUUAUUGGGCGUAAAGGGAGCGCAGGCGGUCAGGAAAGUCUGGAGUAAAAGGCUAUGGCUCAACCAUAGUGUGCUCUGGAAACUGUCUGACUUGAGUGCAGAAGGGGAGAGUGGAAUUCCAUGUGUAGCGGUGAAAUGCGUAGAUAUAUGGAGGAACACCAGUGGCGAAAGCGGCUCUCUGGUCUGUCACUGACGCUGAGGCUCGAAAGCGUGGGUAGCGAACAGGAUUAGAUACCCUGGUAGUCCACGCCGUAAACGAUGAGUGCUAGGUGUUAGGCCCUUCCGGGGCUUAGUGCCGGAGCUAACGCAAUAAGCACUCCGCCUGGGGAGUACGACCGCAAGGUUGAAACUCAAAGGAAUUGACGGGGGCCCGCACAAGCGGUGGAGCAUGUGGUUUAAUUCGAAGCAACGCGAAGAACCUUACCAGGUCUUGACAUCCCGAUGCUAUUCUUAGAGAUAGGAAGUUACUUCGGUACAUCGGAGACAGGUGGUGCAUGGUUGUCGUCAGCUCGUGUCGUGAGAUGUUGGGUUAAGUCCCGCAACGAGCGCAACCCUUAUUGUUAGUUGCCAUCAUUAAGUUGGGCACUCUAGCGAGACUGCCGGUAAUAAACCGGAGGAAGGUGGGGAUGACGUCAAAUCAUCAUGCCCCUUAUGACCUGGGCUACACACGUGCUACAAUGGUCGGUACAACGAGUUGCGAGCCGGUGACGGCAAGCUAAUCUCUGAAAGCCGAUCUCAGUUCGGAUUGGAGGCUGCAACUCGCCUCCAUGAAGUCGGAAUCGCUAGUAAUCGCGGAUCAGCACGCCGCGGUGAAUACGUUCCCGGGCCUUGUACACACCGCCCGUCACACCACGAGAGUUUGUAACACCCGAAGUCGGUGAGGUAACCUUUUAGGGGCCAGCCGCCUA
rnacentral:rRNA from 1 species